rnacentral:lncRNA from 1 species
CUUUGCCACAGAAUAUAAAGUGCUGAACCUUUGAUUGUGAAGUUGUGCAGAAAUAUUACCACCUUCAAUACCAUAAAAAAACUAUUCUAUAAAGAUUAAAGGAAUUUAAAGUCUCUGAAGUAAUUCCACGUAUGUUAUACACAGAAAGGAAGUCUGUCUGCUUACUCAGGCAUGAACAGAAACUGCAUGAGAUCUGCCAAAUGUGAAGUCAAAUGUCAAGAGAAUACACCUGCUGAAGGAAGACAAGGUCAGGUCGGCUGGAAAAGAGGAAGCAAGAGAAAUUUUGGGGAAAACCAUUGUCAACGGUUUACGGGCGUUCGGCCUGUAUUGCAAUAACACAUCAAAGUAAACUUUACACAGAAGGAAAAAUGACCUAAAGAGACAUAAGUAAAACCAUUUUGGCUUUGAUGGAGUACUGCAUUUUUACAUUUGUUAUUAUUAUCAUCCUUGGAGUUGUAGAUAUUAAAGAAAAAAACACCUUUUUCAAGGCAGUGAUUAUUGCU